GGCAUGCACCUGUAAUCGCAGCUACUCGGGAGGCUAACGGAAGAGAAUCGUUUGAACCUGAGAGGCGGAGGUUUCAGUGAGCCAAGAGCAUGACACCGCACUCCGGCCUGGAUGACAGAGCAAGACUCUGAAAAAAAAGAAAAAAAAAAGCCCAUCUCUACAAAAAAAUACAAAUAAAACAAAUUAGUCAGGCAUGGGGUUACAUUCCUGUAUCCCAGAUACUUAAGUGCCUGAGGUCUGAGGUGGGAGGAUUGCAUGAGCCCAGGAGUUUGAGGCUGAAGUGAGCUAUGAUUGUGCUGCUGGAAUCCAGCCUGAGUGACAGAAAAAGACUCCGUCUCAGAAAAAUCAAAAGAAAGAAAAAUAUGUAGGUUAUCAUUUCUAGAUGUGGGUAUCAUUGAAACCAAGUAGAAAGGGACAUUAAAUCAAGAUGGGAAAGUCUAUGGGAGGAGAACAAGAACAGAAAUUCAGUUUGGACAUGUGAAGUUUCUGAUGGACAUUGGCAUACAAACAGAGAUGUCAAGAAAGGCAGCUAGGUAUAUAAGGAAAUAAGAGAAAGGAUAGGGAAGAAGAUACAUGUUUUAGGGUCUUCAACAUAUAAAUGGGGUUUGAAAUUGUUUGAUUGUGUGAGAUUACAAAGGAAUAGGAGAAAUGAAUUCAAAAGACUAUUCCUUAUGAGAGGUGAAGCCCGCUGGACUUCCUGGGUGGAGUGGGGACUUGGAGAACUUUUCAGUCUAGCUAAAGGUUUGUAAACACACCAGUCAGCACUCUGUAAAAACGAACCAAUUAGCACUCUGUAAAAUGGACCAAUCAGCCCUCUGUAAAAUGGACAAAUCGUUGGACGUUGGUCGGGGGUGCUCCAAGUAAGGGAAUAAAAGCUGGCUGCCGGAGCCAGCAGUGGCAACCUGCUCGGGUCCCCUUCCACACUGUGGAAGGUUUGUUCUUUCACUCUUCAUAAUAAAUUUUGCUGCUGCUCACUCUUGGGGUCUUCACUACCUUUAUGAGCUGUAACACUCACCGCGAAGGUCUGCAGCUUCACUCCUGAAGCCAGUGAGACCACGAACCCACCAGGAGGAACAAACAACUCCGGACGCACCACCUUUAAAGGCUGUAACACUCACCGCGAAGGUCUGCAGCUUCACUCCUGAAGUCAGCGAGACCAUGAACCCACCGGCAGGAAGAAACUCCAGACACAUCUGAACAUCUGAAGGAACAAACUCCAGACACACCAUCUUUAAGAACUCUAACACUCACCGCAAGGGUCCGCGGCUUCAUUCUUGAAGUCAGUGAGACCAAGAACCCACUGGAAGGAACCAAAUCUGGACACACUUAUGUUGUACUCUCAUCUUAAGAUACCUAGAUGUUUAAAACAAAGUAAAAAUAAUAUCAAUAAAUAAAGAAGAGAAAAAUUAGCAGCCAGUGAGGUAAGAAACAAAGGAGAGAGAGAGAGACAGAGGAGAGAGAGCGAUUAAGAGAGAGAGAGAGAGGCUGUGCCCUGGAAGCCAAGAAAUAAAAAGAAGUACAUUAAAAGAAUAGAUGAUCAAACAGAUCAAGUAGGAGAAAGACUGAGAACGUAUCAUUGAAAUUAAAAAAAAACAUGUAAAUUAAAAAAAUUUUUUAAUAAUUUUAUUGAUGGUCUUGAUAAAUAGGUAUAAACAAAUGUGUUGUUAGAGGAUGGGAAGAGAAUAAUUAAGCAGUUGAACUUUGCUUCAUUUGUCUACCUCUACCUGGGUGAUGUUUCUAGGGAAGAAUAAACUCAGAUAAGUUUAGGUUACUCCUCUUGUAAAACGUUAACAAUAACCUACUAGACAACAAACUAAUGAUAUUAGAGGAGAGUUCUUAUCCAUUAGAUUAUUUUAGUAGUUAUUGGUUUAGUGACUAUGGUAAACAAACCUAGAAUCUGUAGGCUUAUGAGGCCUGGGUUUUUGGAAAAUAUCACAUAAACUAUGUAACUACGUGAGUAUAGAAUGGAGCUGUUUCAUUAUCUGAAUCUUCCUUGCUGUGUGAGGUACUGUUUAUCUCAUUUAGAGAUCACUCCUCUUGACCAGAGCUAGAAAGUACAUCUCAGGCUGGAAUAAAGGACAGGGAGUCACCAUACUAUGCCUGUGCCCGUUAUUUGCUUAUAUCCUUGAAAUUAUUUAUAAAGCUUGACACAGU
rnacentral:lncRNA from 10 species